CUAUAUUUCAUUCAACAAUCUUUAACAUUGAGAAUGAUUUCACACCUGAAGAAGAAGAAGCGAUUCGCAAGGAGAACGCUUGGACUUUUGGGGCUGAUUCAAAAACAGAAGAUCCAAAACCCUAGUUUUUUAAAAAAAAACCUGGCUUUGUGUUUCGUUUCGUUUUUCUUUUUCCUUUUCCAUAUAUGAUUUGGUGAAUGAUUUGUUUCCGUUUUCUCAAGUGUGAUAUUGACUUUUGGUCUCUUUAAUUUCGUUGUUAAUUUUCACUUAAAUAAAAUAAAUCUAAGUAGUUAAUUUGGUCGUCUAAGUAAGUUUUUGAUCUCUCUUCUUAGUGAAUCUAUAUUUACAAGUCGUAUUAAGCGGGAGGGUGAACGUGCUUCUUGCCAAGGUGAGACAAGACGAGAGAGAGGAGGAGAUAUAAAAAAUCAGAAAGACCAACAAUUGGCCGCCUCCUCCUAAUCAAAGAAAAUGCCGGAAAAAAAGAAGAAGAAGGAAAGCAUCCAAAAUGGAGAAAACUUUCGUCAUGAUCAAACCCGACGGUGUCCAGAGGCGACUAAUGCCUGAAAUUAUCAGAAGGUUUGAAGAGAAGCGUUUCACUUUGAAGGGUAUAAUUGAUUCCAAACUUGCUUGAGUGAUUUGAUUGAGUCAACUGAGUGGGGAUGUACAGGCAUGAAGAUGAUGAGUGUUGAAGCACUACGAGGAGCUGUCUGGCGAGCACGUAUUCGGGCGUCUGGUUGAUUACAUUGUGUCGUCCGGGCCUGUUGUUGCAAUGAUAUGGGAGGGGGAGAAUGUUGUGGAGACAGUGAGAGAGAUGAUUGGACCCACAAGACCAUCAGACUGCGAGUAUGCAACCAUCCGUGGGGAAUUUGGUAUUGACAAGAUCAGGAAUGUGAUCCAUGGGAGUUACUCUGCCGAGAUUGCAAACAAGGAGAUUGCAUCUGGGACAAAAAAAAUCAACAAUCAUUGGUACAAGUUCGAUUGUUGAUCCUUCGGGGUGAGUUUUUCUUUUAAAUAAGGUUUUAGGGGUGAAUCCAAAUAAGCAAGAAACUUUUUUUUUAGGUUGUUUACUACGACUAGUAUCAUAGUGUCUUGUACUGUUAUUUACACGGGGCUUGAUGGUGGAGACUCUCGACUCGAGAGUAAGUUUGGUGUUGCAUGCUGACAUAGAUGAGGUCUCUAAACUUCGUUUGUGGGAGUCAUUAAUGAAAGUUCGAGCUUCUAUA